UCUCAACUCUGUGCUGCCCGCGCAGCCCACACACUCAUCCUGCCUGGCUGCUGCUUUGUGACGCCAGCAGCUCACCCUGCUUUGUUACAGCGGGUGGUUGCUGGGCCGGCCCCCUGCCUGCCAGCCUCUGGCGCACACUGGCGCUGGCGGUCGCAGAGGCCCCGACGCGCCCCGCCGGGCCUGCUGAGCUGCCCCCGGGCCGGGGUCCCUCCUGGCCACGCUGUGCCCAGGCGGUGCAGCGCUGCCUGUAUGACCUCCUUCCGGCGGCGCGGGGAAAAGGCGACCAUCUGCCUCCAGGAGCAUGUGGUCAUCGACAUGUACCCCGCACCCAUAUCUCUGGCUACUUCCUGCGGGAGCUCCCCCAUGACGCCCCCGCUUGCCUGGCCACCUCCGACGUCGCCCACGACGACGAGGAUGGGGACCAUCUCUUCGGAGCCUAAGGAUCCAGCCCAGGUCCCAGCCCUGCGCAGCCGCCCUCCAAGCUGCCAGAGGACUAGCUGGACGCCGAAGGCUACGAGAGGACGACUGCAGACCUGAAGCCCAUGGACCACAGUGGGCUGUCAGACACCUGUGUCAAGCUGCACCUGCGGCCAGGAGCCAGGAAGGUGAGGGAGGUUCACCCUGGCUUGCCCACCAGCUGUGACCACUCAUGGCGAUGGGGCCUGGACUGGGCUGGGGGCACCCAGGGAGGUCCACAGAUGCCACUCCUCCUCACAGCCCAAGCAAGCUGAGGAGGCCUCAGCCAUUCACCUCCAUGCGGAACAGCCAGUCUGUCCCACACCUGGGAUGCCUUCCAGCAUAACCUCCCUGCUGAUCUGGGGAAAGCCCUGGAGAAUUUCCAGGUUGGCAUUUUAUAAGAAGCAUUCUCAGCUGGAGGUUACUAUGAUGUACCAACAAAGAACUGUGGUCAGAUCACAUUGGAAAACAUUAUUAAACUAGUUUCUUUACUGCAGGACUUACCAGAGCCUUUAAUGUGCGGAUGGGCUGUUCCUUGACUGUCAGUAAGGGGGAUGAAGUAGGUAGCGUCUGCCCAAUGUAUUUGACCACAGAAUCCUCAUUCCCAAGAGGCCAACCACAAAUGCACGUAAGGCACCAGCACAACACGUGCAUCUAGGAGAGGAGAGAAAAAAAUACUAUUAAAUAAAAGCAUCAAAGUGACCUUGAGCCA
rnacentral:lncRNA from 1 species